AGAGCACAGGGUGGAUGCCCAGGCACCAAACGCCGAUGAAAGACGUGGCAAGCUGCGAAAAGUCACGGGGAACCGCAAGCAGGUAUUGAUCCGUGAACGUCUGAAUGGGGAAACCCGGCGGGUUAACAGCCCGUCACUAUUAACUGAAUCAAUAGGUUAAUAGGGGGAACGCGGGGAACUGAAACAUCUCAGUACCCGUAGGAAGAGAAAAUAAAGAAUGAUUUCCUAAGUAGCGGCGAGCGAACGGGAAAGAGGCCAAACCGAAGGGCUUGCUCUUCGGGGUUGUGGAUCAGCGAUAAGGACGGAAGACCUUAGCAGAAGAGGAUUGGAAAGUCCCGCCAGAGAGGGUAAAAGCCCCUUAUGCGAAAAGGUCAAACGACGAGCUGACACCAGAGUACCGCAGGACACGAGAAAUCCGGUGGGAAGCCGGGAGGACCACCUCCCAAGCCUAAAUACGAAUUGGUGACCGAUAGCGCAUAGUACCGUGAGGGAAAGGUGAAAAGAACCCCGGGAGGGGAGUGAAAAAGAACCUGAAACCCUAUGUUUACAAGCAGAUAGAGCACGUUAAGGUGCGAUAUCGUACUUUUUGUAGAACGGUCCGGCGAGUUAUUUUAUAUGGCAAGAUUAAGUACUUAAGGUACGAAGUCGAAGAGAAAUCGAGUCUGAAAAGGGCGAAAAAGUCAUAUGAAAUAGACCCGAAACCGAGUGACCUAUCCAUGGUCAGGAUGAAGCUUGAGUAAAAUCAAGUGGAGGUCCGAACUCAUAAGCGUUAAAAAGCUUCGGGAUGAACUGUGGAUAGCGGAGAAAUUCCAAUCGAACUCGGAGAUAGCUGGUUCUCCUCGAAAUAGUUUUAGGACUAGCCUUGUUAAGUAGUAUAUGGGGGUAGAGCACUGAAGGAGCUAGGGGCCAAACCAGGUUACUGAACUCUAUCAAACUCCGAAUACCAUAUACGUAAAAACAGGAGUCAGACUGCGGGAGCUAAGUUCCGUGGUCAAAAGGGAAAGAGCCCAGAUCGUCAAUUAAGGUCCCAAAGAUAUAGUUAAGUGGAAAACGAUGUGAUUUUGCGUAAACAACCAGGAUGUUGGCUUAGAAGCAGCCAUUCAUUUAAAGAGUGCGUAAUAGCUCACUGGUCGAGUGAAGUUGCGCGGAAAAUUACCGGGGCUAAACUAUACACCGAAAUUGCGGAUUCAUGAGUAAUCAUGAGUGGUAGAGGAGCAUUCUGUUGUAGGAAGAAGUGUGAUCGAAAGGACAUGUGGACGAAGCAGAAGAGAGAAUGCCGGAAUAAGUAGCGAAAGCAUGGUGAGAAUCCAUGCCAUCGAAAGUCUAAGGUUUCCUGGGGAAGGUUCGUCCGCCCAGGGUAAGUCGGGACCUAAGGUGAGGCCGAAAGGCGUAGCCGAUGGACAGCAGGUAGAAAUUCCUGCACUACCGAAAUACUUAAAAGAUGCAAGGGACACAGGAGUGGAAGGAAAGCGAGGAAGAGGAAAGACUCGUAUCGAAAGAUAUAGUGAAAAUUAAAGUAACGAAUUUCCAAGAAGCACACUGGCGAGAAAAGCUUGUAGAUAUUGUAUAGAGGUACCCGUACCGCAAACCGACACAGGUAGAUGAGGAGAGGAUCCUAAGAUGAGCGAGAGAAGCAUUGUUAAGGAACUCGGCAAACCAACCCCGUAACUUAGGGAGAAGGGGUGCCUAUGUAAAAAUAGGCCGCAGAGAAGAGGCCCAAGCAACUGUUUAACAAAAACACAGGUUUCUGCUAAAUCAAAAGAUGAAGUAUAGGAGCUGACGCCUGCCCAGUGCUGGAAGGUUAAGGGAAAAUGUAAGUACAGAAGUAUGAAGCAUAGAACCAAAGCCCCAGUGAACGGCGGCCGUAACUAUAACGGUCCUAAGGUAGCGAAAUUCCUUGUCAGGUAAGUUCUGACCCGCACGAAAGGCGUAAUGAUUUGGGCGCUGUCUCGACAAUGUACUCGGCGAAAUUGUAGUACUAGUGAAGAUGCUAGUUACCUGCGACAAGACAGAAAGACCCCAUGGAGCUUUACUGUAGCUUGAUACUGGGUUUCGAUAAUUUAUGUACAGGAUAGGUGGGAUGCAAAGAAGCAAGUGCGCCAGCAUUUGUGGAGCAGACGUUGGGAUACCACCCUUAAGUUAUUGGAAUUCUAACCUGUAGUCAUGAACUGGCUAGGGGACAAUGUCAGGCGGGCAGUUUGACUGGGGCGGUCGCCUCCAAAAGAGUAACGGAGGCGCGCAAAGGUUUCCUCAGCGCGGACAGAAAUCGCGCAAGAGAGUGCAAAGGCAGAAGGAAGCUUAACUGAGAGACUGACAAGUCGACCAGAUACGAAAGUAGGUCUUAGUGAUCCGGCGGUAGUGAGUGGAAAUGCCGUCGCUCAACGGACAAAAGUUACCCUGGGGAUAACAGGCUUAUCUCCCCCAAGAGUUCACAUCGACGGGGAGGUU
rnacentral:rRNA from 1 species